rnacentral:lncRNA from 1 species
AUUGAGGAAUGUAUGAUUGAAAAUAAGAGAAAAAAAUAUAUUAAAAUUUUAAACGGCAUCAAACAAGGACUUAGUAAGACAUAUCAAUUUUAUGCUAAUACUAAUUCUAUGCCUGUGCAAUGCACGGACAGAAUUUUUUUUAAGACAAUUUUAGUGUAGACAUGAAGAAGCAUCACAGAAUAUGUUAGCAUUUAUCAAAGGUCUAGUUUUAGUAAUUAUGGCAGAGGCAUAAUGGCAUUAUGGAACUGUUCCAACUCCUU